AGCUCAAUUGCUUCGGGCUGGUAGCGCAUAUUAAAGUUGUUGCAGUUAAAAAGCUCGUAGUUGAAUUUCAGGCCUGGCUGGGCGGUCCGCCUUUUGGGUGAGUACUGCCUGUGGUCGGGUCCUACCUUCUGGCGAAGCGUCAUGGCCUUAACCGGCCGUGGCGGGGAACCAGGACUUUUACUGUGAAAAAAUUAGAGUGUUCAAAGCAGGCAUUCGCUUGAAUACAUUAGCAUGGAAUAAUGGAAUAGGACAGUGGUUCUAUUUGUUGGUUUCUAGGACCGUUGUAAUGAUUAAUAGGGAUAGUUGGGGGCAUUAGUAUUCAAUUGUCAGAGGUGAAAUUCUUGGAUUUAUUGAAGACUAACUACUGCGAAAGCAUUUGCCAAGGAUGUUUUCAUUAAUCAAGAACGAAAGUUAGGGGAUCGAAGACGAUCAGAUACCGUCGUAGUCUUAACCAUAAACUAUGCCGACUAGGAAUCGGGCGAUGUUGACAAAAUGACGCGCUCGGCGCCUACGGGGGAAACCAACCGAUUGGGUUCGGCCCUCUGUAGCAGCU
rnacentral:rRNA from 1 species